rnacentral:misc_RNA from 1 species
GAAAUGCGAUAAGUAGUGUGAAUUGCAGAAUUCAGUGAAUCAUCGAAUCUUUGAACGCACAUUGCGCCCUUUGGUAUUCCUUAGGGCAUGCCUGUUCGAGCGUCAUCUAAACCUUCAAGCCCUGCUUGGUGUUGGGUGCCUGUCCCGCCUCCGCGCGCGGACUCACCUCAAAUCCAUUGGCGGCCCCCGCGUCGGCCACGAGCGCAGCAGAAACGCGAACUCGUGAGCCCGUCCGGGCGGCUCCCAGAAACUACACCCACCCAGUUUGACCUCGGAUCAGGUAGGGAUACCCGCUGAACUUAAGC